rnacentral:rRNA from 1 species
CGCGGCCUAUCAGCUUGUUGGUGAGGUAAUGGCUCACCAAGGCUUCGACGGGUAGCCGGCCUGAGAGGGCGACCGGCCACACUGGGACUGAGAUACGGCCCAGACUCCUACGGGAGGCAGCAGUGGGGAAUAUUGCACAAUGGGCGCAAGCCUGAUGCAGCCAUGCCGCGUGAGUGAAGAAGGCCUUAGGGUUGUAAAGCUCUUUCACCAGGGAAGAUAAUGACGGUACCUGGAGAAGAAGCCCCGGCUAACUCCGUGCCAGCAGCCGCGGUAAUACGGAGGGGGCUAGCGUUGUCCGGAAUUAUUGGGCGUAAAGGGCUUGUAGGCGGUCCGUCGCGUCAGGAGUGAAAACUCGGGGCUUAACCCCGAGCCUGCUUUUGAUACGGGCGGACUAGAGGGAUGCAGGGGAGAACGGAAUUCCUGGUGGAGCGGUGGAAUGCGCAGAUAUCAGGAGGAACACCGGUGGCGAAGGCGGUUCUCUGGGCAUCACCUGACGCUGAGAAGCGAAAGCGUGGGGAGCAAACAGGCUUAGAUACCCUGGUAGUCCACGCCGUAAACGGUGGGCACUAGGUGUGGGGGACAUUCCACGUUCUCCGUGCCGAAGCUAACGCAUUAAGUGCCCCGCCUGGGGAGUACGG